GGCCCAGUGGCGUAAUGGUAUCGCGCGCAGUCGUUAUUGCAACGUUAUUUCCCUUUAACUGCGAGCUCCUCGUUCGAUUCGAGGUUGGGCCU